AGCAGCCGCGGUAAUUCCAGCUCCAAUAGCGUAUAUUAAAGUUGUUGCAGUUAAAAAGCUCGUAGUUGAAUUUCGGGAUCAAUACGUCGGUCGUGCUUCGGUACGUACUGGCGUCAUUGAUUUCUCCCUUCUGACGAACCAUGAUGUCAUUAACUUGGUGUCAUGGGAAAUCAGGACUGUUACUUUGAAAAAAUUAGAGUGUUUAAAGCAGGCUCACGCUUGAAUACAUUAGCAUGGAAUAAUGAAAUAGGACGUUCGAUCCUAUUUUGUUGGUUUUCAGGAUCAACGUAAUGAUUAAUAGGGAUAGUUGGGGGCAUUAGUAUUCAAUUGUCAGAGGUGAAAUUCUUGGAUUUAUUGAAGACUAACUACUGCGAAAGCAUUUGCCAAGGAUGUUUUCAUUAAUCAAGAACGAAAGUUAGGGGAUCGAAGACGAUCAGAUACCGUCGUAGUCUUAACCAUAAACUAUGCCGACUAGGGAUCGGAUGAUGUUAAUUAUUUAAUGACUCAUUCGGCGCCUUACG
rnacentral:rRNA from 1 species